AAUGUUAGUUUUUUCUAUGUUGCGUGAUAAAAAACAAUUAUUAUUGUCCAAAAUCUGAUAUUUUUAAGUUUUUCAAUAUUCAAAUAACUUGUUUCGUAAUAAUGGUAUAAAAAAUCAAUCCAAUGUCCCGCAUUGCAAAUCCUCUUUGCUUUAUGACAUAGAUUUGGUGGUUACUCAACUAUAUCCAUAACCCGAGUGGUUUUUGCU